GGCGGAAGAGGAAGUAGUUCCUUUGAAUGUAGACAAUCUGAAUGUUAUAGUUUCUUUCCACUGUGUUCCUGUUAAUGAUAAACUACAAAUGUACUCUAAAUUACUAAAAUAUCGAUAUUUUAAUGUGAGAAUCGAUUCUAGAACAUAAAUGAUUGGUAUCGGAGGAAUUGAUAUUUCAGUAUCGAUCCGCACAUCACUAGUUUUGGAACAAGAAGAAAGGAGUAAAAAGAGCACGAGCGCAUCGUUAAAGCCGACUAACGUGAAAACACGUGACGAGACGAAGUCCGCACAGGCUCAGGGACAGACUUCAUCCUUUUACUUUAACCAUGAAACAUGAAGCUGUCGCUCAUAAUGGAGAGCGUGAGGGAACUACAGAGAGGAGGAGGAGGAGGACACGGGCUGUGAGGGACGCAGUGGAGCAGCCCUCAGACCUGUGUGUCUCACACUGUGAUUACACUCCACACACUCAGUUUCAGUAACACUCAUGAACAACAAUGAAAAGAUAAAGUAAUAAGUUACUGUAGUUCUCAGUUACAGCCUCGUGUUUCCUCCACAUUCGUCUCUUUUUAGACAUCAGCAGGAGCGAGGACGACCCAGCCAG
rnacentral:lncRNA from 1 species